rfam:Triticum aestivum genome assembly, contig: Triticum_aestivum_CS42_TGACv1_scaffold_288251_4AL
CAAUUACUCCCUCCGUCCGAAAAUACUUGUCAUCAAAAUGAAUAAAAAUAGAUGCAUCUAAAACUAAAAUACAUCUAGAUACAUCCCCUUUUAUCUAGUUUGAUGACAAGUAUUUUUCGGACAGAGGGAGUACUAU